CGCGGUUUCGUAAGUGAAUGAAGACGUCCCUUUCUCUGGCUUGAGCACAGUAUUUAUAGGAUUGCCUAAUGGGCUUUCUAUCCCUUGGGCUCAGGGUGGUUAUGGAUAUGUCUUGUCAGUCGUGCUCCGGAAUACCCGGGGAACAUAUCUUCUCUAAACGCAUAUUCCUUAUUCUUCGGAGGUGUAUCUUAACCACCUUAGCUUGUCACAUAAAUGCCCUUACAUUUAUUGUGUACACGGCCGGUCGGCCACGUGCGUUCGUCCGGUGCCUACCAGUACA
rnacentral:lncRNA from 1 species